UACAGAGGUCUCAAGCGUUGUUCGGAUUCAUUGGGCGUAAAGGGUGCGUAGGCGGCGCGGUAAGUCGGGUGUGAAAUCUCGGAGCUUAACUCCGAAACUGCAUUCGAUACUGCCGUGCUUGAGGACUGGAGAGGAGACUGGAAUUUACGGUGUAGCGGUGAAAUGCGUAGAUAUCGUAAGGAAGACCAGUGGCGAAGGCGACUUACUGGACCACCACUGACGCUGAUGCGCGAAAGCCAGGGGAGCAAACGGG
rnacentral:rRNA from 1 species